rnacentral:rRNA from 1 species
UACGUAGGUGGCAAGCGAUACUCGGAAUCACUGGGCGUAAAGCGCAGGUAGGCGGUUUGAUAAGUCUGUUGUGAAAGCUCCCGGCUUAACUGGGAGAGGUCAACGGAAACUGUCAGGCUAGAGUGUGGUAGAGGUAGCUGGAAUUCCCGGUGUAGCGGUGAAAUGCGCAGAUAUCGGGAGGAACACCGGUGGCGAAGGCGGUUCUCUGGGCCUUACCUGACGCUGAGGAGCGAAAGCGUGGGGAGCGAACAGG